rnacentral:lncRNA from 1 species
CGUGUGCUUGUGGCAGUGGGCAGAUCCGGCGCCGGAGGAGGCCAAGGCGUAGGAUGAUGGGGGCGGUGUUUAAGAAGGUUUGCCGUCGCGUGCACCAGGAACUCGAUCCAGUUCAGAUUUGGCUCGAUUUUAUUUGGUUUGUUUCCUAAUCCUUUUUAAUGUACCUUAUCUCGAGAUUACCUGCGAUCUAACCUUCUUAGAUACUGCUUGCACACAAUGAACCUUCCUAUAAUACAUGGCAAUUUUUUUGAGAAAGACCAUACACAUUUUGUACACGAUGAGCAUAAAAAGGAACAAAGAAUAGAAUAGAAACAGGAAAAAUGCAAUUAGGAAAUGAAAAUAAAAACUAUACAUAACAUAAAACAACAUAAAGCGAAAAGGGGAACGAAAACAAAAACACGUGCCAAACCGGAACAAAAAACACCCGACCAAAUCACAUGAAGCAAGCUUGCGUGAAAAGAAUGAAAAAUAACCACCUCAUGGGCUGCGCAACCCAUGAACCGGCUCUUGUUCAUGCCAAAAUGCACACCCUGAUAGGCGAUAAAUAGCUUCUACGACACACAUACUCCAUGGGGGCGUGUCUUGUGAGCGGAUUGGCCCGGACACGUCAUUUCAGUUACUAUUAUGCGAAUCGCGCUAAACACAUCCCGCCUUUUAUACACUCUUAUGUGCGCAACUCCAUGCACAUCAGAAGGGUCCUUUGUUUAGGUCAGGUCUAGGUUCCCCAAAUGGUCUUGUUCCCGCACGCUCAAACUCCUCCAAGCGAUUGCCUCUCCCUCACGCCGCGUCCCAUGCUCCGGGGAAGAGACGUUGUUCAAUGGAGCGCGCGUGCUUGCGGCAGCGGGCAGAUCCGGUUCCACAGGAGGCCCAAAGGGAGGAUCCGCGGCGGCGGUGUUUAAGGAGGUUUGCCGUCACGUGCACCAGGGGUCCAAUUCAGUUCCGAUUUGGCUCGAUUUUACUUGGUUAGUUUCCUAAUCCUUUUCAAUCUACCUUAUCUCGAGAUUACAUGUGCGCUAACCUUCUUAUAUAGUGUUUGUACACAAUGAACCUUUGUAUAAUAUAUACAUGGUAAUUUUUUGAAAAGGACUAUGAACAUCUUCUACACGAUGAGCAGAAAAAAUA